rnacentral:rRNA from 1 species
CAAUAGCGUAUAUUAAAGUUGUUGCAGUUAAAAAGCUCGUAGUUGAAUUUCUGGUGGGAGUGUACAGUCCGACACUGAGUGUUGGUUCUUGUAUGUCUCCGGCCAUCCUUGGAGUGAAUCUGUCUGGCAUUCAGUUGUUGGGCAGAGUAUCUCCAUCGUUUACUGUGAGGAAAUGAAAGUGUUCAAAGCAGGCUUAUGCCGUUGAAUCUUUUAGCAUGGAAUAAUAAGAUAGGAUCUUGAUACUAUUUUGUUGGUUUGCGUGUUAAGAUAAUGAUGAAUAGGGACAGUUGGGGGUAUUUGUAUUCCAUAGUCAGAGGUGAAAUUCUUGGAUUUAUGGAAGACAAACUAAUGCGAAAGCAUCUACCAAGGAUGUUUUCAUUAA